UACGGAGGGUGCAAACGUUGCUCGGAAUCAUUGGGCGUAAAGCGCGCGUAGGCGGCGAAGCAAGUUGGAUGUGAAAGCCCUGGGCUCAACCUAGGAUGUGCAUACAAAACUGCUUCGCUUGAAUCUCGGAGGGGGUCAGGGAAUUCCCGGUGUAGAGGUGAAAUUCGUAGAUAUCGGGAGGAACACCAGUGGCGAAGGCGCUGACCUGGACGAUGAUUGACGCUGAGGAGCGAAAGCGUGGGGAGCAAACAGG
rnacentral:rRNA from 1 species